rnacentral:lncRNA from 1 species
UAUUCGAGUUCCUGCUGUUCGUGGACUGCAACCAACCACCAGGCUAAAGUGGACGUCAUCCAUCCACACUACACACCAAAGAAGAAAGCACUCGAAAUAAGUGAACCAUCUCGAUAGCCAGAAACGGAUACAGAGGUGGAAGAGCGAGCCAAUGGUGAUACCGCACCACCAACGGUGUUUCUUGCUCCGAAGCCGUAGUUAUAAUUCCCAUGACAGCAUCCACAAAUACUGACUCCACGCUUAGCAAAAGCAAGCUUUUCAAUUCCCAUGUAAAGAAAGCACCAGAAAACAAAUCAAACAACAUAGCUUGGAGGGAUGGAAGAAUUUUAGCCUGUGAUAGUUUUAUCCCGCGCCUUAGCAUCACAAUAAGAG